rnacentral:rRNA from 1 species
UCGACUGUUUACCAAAAACAUAGCUUUCAGAACAAAUUAUAAAUAGUGACGCCUGCUCAAUGAUUGCACACUACAAAGAAAAACUACAAUUAAAUAGCUGCGGUAAUACCUAACCGUACAAAGGUAGCACAAUAAAUAGCCUAUUAAUUGUAGGAUUGCAUGAAGGCAAAACGAAACCUUUACUGUCUCAAGACUUCAAAUCUAAAUUAGACUGUGUGUGAAAAUCCACAUAAAAAUGGCAAGACGAUAAGACCCUAUGAACUUUACCCUAAAUCUUGGAAAACACUUAUCUUCCAAUAAAGAAUAAAGAUAUAAAAACCCAAGACUCACGUUUCGUUGGGGCAACGAUCUCAAAAAAAAUAAAUAAGAUUCUAACUAAAAUAAGAAAAAAUAAUAUAAGUAUAAAUAAAUUAUAAAUUGAAAAACUAACCUUAAUACAAACCACACAUAUUACUAUAAAAAUGAGAAAUAACUUAUGAUAAGACCCAUUAGAAAAAUAGAAUUAAUGAGUAAAAAAUAAAAGUUCCUUAGGGAUAACAGCGUAAUAUUGUACACAAAGAUAUUUUUCAAACAAUGUUUGCGACCUCGAUGUUGAAUUAYRA